GUUUUCAUUUCACCUUUCUCAGUAAUCUGGGUGUAGCUUAUUUUGACUCUUCCUUUGAUUAAACAAUUCAGACCCUUGGCUCUUAUUGUUCUUGCUGGUGUGGUAUGUUCACGGCUGAAAAGAUGGUCAGAAGGGGAAAGGAGGAAGUGAGAAGAAAGAAACAGGGAAAUGCAGGCUGAGGAAUUACCAAGGAGGCAGGAGGUGGAGCAAAACACACCAAGCCUGGUGCCAAUCAUUGACAAUAUUAUGGAACUGACUCAGCGCAAGAAGACAGCUUCGACUCCUUGUGAUUUCAUCCCUAACCAAUCAGCACUCCUGGCUCACUGGCUUCCCCCAACCCACCAAAUUGUCCUUAAAAACUCUGCUCUCCAAACGCUGGGGGAGACUGAUUUGAGUAAUAAUAAAACCCUGGUCUCCUGCA
rnacentral:lncRNA from 1 species